GACGAACGCUGGCGGCGUGCUUAACACAUGCAAGUCGAACGAAGAGCGACGGAAGCUUGCUUCUAUCAAUCUUAGUGGCGAACGGGUGAGUAACGCGUAAUCAACCUGCCCUUCAGAGGGGGACAACAGUUGGAAACGACUGCUAAUACCGCAUACGAUCUAAUCUCGGCAUCGAGGAUGGAUGAAAGGUGGCCUCUACAUGUAAGCUAUCACUGAAGGAGGGGAUUGCGUCUGAUUAGCUAGUUGGAGGGGUAACGGCCCAACAAGGCGAUGAUCAGUAGCCGGUCUGAGGGGAUGAACGGCCACAUUGGGACUGGGACCCGGCCCAGACUCCUACGGGAGGCAGCAGUGGGGAAUCUUCCGCAAUGGACGAAAGUCUGACGGGGCAACGCCGCGUGAGUGAUGACGGCCUUCGGGUUGGAAAGCUCUGUUAAUCGGGAAGAAAGGCCUUCUUGCGAAUAGUGAGAAGGAUUGACGGUACCGGAAUAGAAAGCCACGGCUAACUACGUG
rnacentral:rRNA from 1 species